CCUCACACAAAAAACUUGUGAUUCAUCAUUCAUUGUCAUUGACAAAUUUGUAUCUCCAAUUUACCCAACUUGAAUGUCUUUGGACUGUGGGAGGAAACCAGAGCUCCUGGAAGAAAUUCCACAGAAAAAGGACCCGGACCACCUGGGGGAUCGAACCCACCAUCUUCUUGCUGAGAGGCGACAGUGCUACCCACUGAGCCACCCUGGCUGGGAUUCACCGUCUUCUGUUUUCUCCAGCUCGAAAACAUGGAAAAAAGAAGCGUGUAUAUGCAGGAACAAAUAUAGAGUCACCUGCGAUUCCUCCUGAUGGUAGAUCGUGUAGUGUGAAAUCCACAACGACUGAAAAGACUCCCGAUUGCAAGAGAUCCAGUUGUGUAGUGUGAACUGUACAGCGAUCUGAACAACUUGACAGUCGUGUAGUGUGAACUUGGCAUGACCUGGCAAGUGAAACUCUUUUUGCCUAACUGUUCACUGUUCAUUUAUUUUAGUAUAAUGUUAUUCACAAAAUCAUGUGCUAUUUCAAACCAGCUAUCAUUCAUUAACAUCCGCAACAGAUACAAAUAUAUAAAAAUUCAACACAAAUAACUCUUACCUUCAUGCGAAGCUGAAGGUUUCCAUGACUGUGAGGAAAAACUGCACCACCUUUACUAAGCUAAAACAUUAUUUCACAUAAUAACCUGUUCUUAGCUAUCGCACACCAACUGUAAUCAUCUCUGGUCAGAACCUCAUUAUCUUAGCACACAAAAUAAAAUACUGUUUACCGUAAGUGCACACUGUAGGUGCCAGAUCACAUCACAUAUUGUCAGCAUGGCUUAGUGAUGUACUGUGUUUGUACAUGUGUUUCUAUUAGUGAAUAAAUUAU